CUGAAAGACUCACAGGCAGAAGAGAGUGGGAACAAGGAAAUUAUAAUAAGCAAAACAGCAGGUAAUAGAGAAGAUACUGGAUUUUGUCUGGUUGAUUUCAACUACUGAAACCAAAGAGUAAAGAGUAGAAGCUACAGAGAAUGAGACCAAUCCCUAUUUCAUCCAUCUGUCUGGAAAAAUACUACUUUUUCAUGACUCCAAGUGAUGGUCACCUCUUCUGA
rnacentral:lncRNA from 1 species